rnacentral:tRNA from 1 species
GGAGUUGUGGCUCAAUGGUAGAGCACUUGCCUAAUGUGUGAGGCACUGGGUUUGAUUCUCAGCACCA